rnacentral:rRNA from 1 species
AAGCGUUUACAACCAGACUUGUACACGGCGGCUCCCCCAACCUUCUGGCUGGGUUAUUCUGUCGUGCCCAGGCCAACAUCGGUUUCGAUGGCCGGUUAAAGGCUCUAGGAAUGUAUCUUCUCCCGGGAAGACUUAUAGCCUGGGGUGUCAUAUGGCCUACCGGGACCGAGGGACGCGCUCCGGCUCGGAUGUUGGCGUAAUGGUUGUCAAC